UACGUAGGUGACCAGCGUUGUCCGGAUUUACUGGGCGUAAAGCGCGCGCAGGCGGUUCUUCAAGUCAGAGGUGAAAGCCCAGAGCUCAACUCUGGAAUGGCCUUUGAGACUAGAGAACUAGGGUACGGGAGAGGUGAGUGGAAUUCCGAGUGUAGAGGUGAAAUUCGUAGAUAUUCGGAAGAACACCAGUGGCGAAGGCGGCUCACUGGCCCGUUACCGACGCUCAGGCGCGACAGCGUGGGGAGCAAACAGG
rnacentral:rRNA from 1 species